CGCUUGAAGUAAACUAUGAAAAGCUCUCUCUCUAGCUCUAGAGAAAAACCACUGACUAGUUCGUUUUGAGGUGUGGCGUGGCGAGGAUAGAAGAGGCAGUUCGUUCUCAACCUUCCGAGACGACAUUUGGCGCCCAACUAAUCGAACCCACGACCCUGAAGCUCGUCGCUCUCCGGCCGGUGUUUUUCGUUUUCCUCUUCGCGUUCUCGCCAUGGCUCCGCUUUGCUGCGUCUGUUCAACCCUUUCCUAGAUCCUCGGAGCUCCUACUCAGUUUCUGUAGCGCCAUCGGUUUUCGGACAGCCGGCCAGUGUGCGUCCUGCUGCCCCAGUCUUCUUCUCGGUCGGUGCGUGCUGUCGGUCUCGCCGCUCCUGGAAGCGUCGCUGGGUCCGUCGGCAUAACCUGUUUUCUCAUGCAUUUGUACUUUUGUUUUGUCAUGACUGGUGGAUGGGUGGCGUACUAGGUUGGUGCUGUUCUAAGAAUAAAAGAUCCAAAGGGACAAACACAGGUCGAACAGCUCGCCAGCCGGGGUCCUCUGCAAAAUCUGUUGCUUGCAGGUUCCGUUGAUUGUUGCACAGUUUUGCGGGGCUCCCGACUGGUGUUAACCCUCCUGGCC